CCCUUAUCCCUCCUUUGAGAUAAUAAUUGUUGAUUAAGAAUCACCCAUUAGUGGGAAUUACAUGAAGCCCUUGAUCAAGUUGUAUCCGCUAUUGCUUGAAUAAGUUGAUUAAAGUUGCAAGUUGAGCCUGCACUUUCACUAAGACUAGAAACUUUAUCCUUUAAUCAAGUAGUAGCUUCUUGAUGGAGUUUAUUUAGCAUAUGAAACUCAUUUAAGAUUUAUGUUUGUUGUUCAAUGUUUUUUUGACCUCAUACUUGUUAUAAUUUUUUGUUUAUAAUGCAUUGGACCUUAUUUAACAUUAUUUAAAUUUUAAAGUGUGUAUUUAAAUAGAUAUAUAACAAGUAGCUUUAUUGAAGAAACUAUAGUGCUAAAGAGGGACAUUAUUGUAGUCAUUCAAAAGUUCAAUAUCCAAGUUAGCAAUUUGACUCAAGAUGUCCUUGGAAAGUCUAGUUCAACUGUUUAUGCCAUUGCAUUGUUAGCCUCUAGACAGAGCUCUGCAAUAACUGGUACAUACGCUGGGCAAUACAUCAUGCAGGGUUUUCUAAACAUGAAGAUGGAAAAAUGGCUAAGGAAUCUCA